rnacentral:rRNA from 1 species
UGGGGAAUAUUGGACAAUGGGCGCAAGCCUGAUCCAGCCAUGCCGCGUGAGUGAUGAAGGCCUUCGGGUUGUAAAGCUCUUUCACCCACGACGAUGAUGACGGUAGUGGGAGAAGAAGCCCCGGCUAACUUCGUGCCAGCAGCCGCGGUAAUACGAAGGGGGCAAGCGGUGUUCGGAAUGACUGGGCGUAAAGGGCGCGUAGGCGGUUCGUUGCGUCAGAUGUGAAAGCCCCGGGCUCAACCUGGGAACUGCAUUUGAUACGGGCGGGCUUGAAUCCAAGAGAGGGUGGUGGAAUUCCCAGUGUAGAGGUGAAAUUCGUAGAUAUUGGGAAGAACACCAGUGGCGAAGGCGGCCACCUGGCUUGGUAUUGACGCUGAGGCGCGAAAGCGUGGGGAGCAAACAGG